rnacentral:rRNA from 1 species
GGGGGGGGGGGGGGGGGGGGCGGGGGGGGGGAGGGAGAAGGCGGGAGGGAGGGGGGUGCGGUGCGUGGGUGAGUUGCGAACGGGUGAGUAACGCGUAGGUAACCUGCCUUGUAGCGGGGGAGAACUGUUGGAAACGAUAGCUAAUACCGCAUAACAAUGGAUGACACAUGUCAUUUAUUUGAAAGGGGCAAUUGCUCCACUACAAGAUGGACCUGCGUUGUAUUAGCUAGUAGGUGAGGUAAUGGCUCACCUAGGCGACGAUACAUAGCCGACCUGAGAGGGUGAUCGGCCACACUGGGACUGAGACACGGCCCAGACUCCUACGGGAGGCAGCAGUAGGGAAUCUUCGGCAAUGGGGGCAACCCUGACCGAGCAACGCCGCGUGAGUGAAGAAGGUUUUCGGAUCGUAAAGCUCUGUUGUAAGUCAAGAACGGGUGUGAGAGUGGAAAGUUCACACUGUGACGGUAGCUUACCAGAAAGGGACGGCUAACUACGUG